AUGUUUGAGAGAGAGCAAGAGACAACGGGGAUUAAAACACACGAAGAGAGAUGCUUGGAGCUCACCUGGGGGGGGUUGGACUUGGAGCUCACCUGGGGGAUGGACUUGGAGCUCACCUGGGGGAUGGACUUGGAGCUCACCUGGGGGAUGGACUUGGAGCUCACCUGGGGGAUGGACUUGGAGCUCACCUGGGGGAUGGACUUGGAGCUCACCUGGGGGUUGGACUUGGAGCUCACCUGGGGGUUGGACUUGGAGCUCACCUGGGGGUUGGACUUGGAGCUCACCUGGGGGUUGGACUUGGAGCUCACCUGGGGGUUGGACUUGGAGCUCACCUGGGGGUUGGACUUGGAGCUCACCUGGGGGAUGGACUUGGAGCUCACCUGGGGGAUGGACUUGGAGCUCACCUGGGGGUUGGACUUGGAGCUCACCUGGGGGAUGGACUUGGAGCUCACCUGGGGGUUGGACUUGGAGCUCACCUGGGGGUUGGACUUGGAGCUCACCUGGGGGUUGGACUUGGAGCUCACCUGGGGGUUGGACUUGGAGCUCACCUGGGGGUUGGACUUGGAGCUCACCUGGGGGUUGGACUUCGCCAGAUUCUCAAUCUUCACCCACGCCUCCUCUCUCUCUUUCCACUUGGCCUUCUCUCUUCACACAACAGGUUUAGAGAGACACGGGAACAGAGAUCAGACAACGACAGGUUUAGAGAGACGGGGGAACAGAUCACAACGACGGGGGAACAGAUCACAGCGACAGGGGAACAGAGAUCAGACAACGACAGGUUUAGCGAGACGGGGGAACAGAGACGGGGGAACAGAGAUCACAACGACAGGUUUAGCGAGACGGGGGAACAGAGAUCACAACGACAGGGGAACAGAGACGGGGGAACAGAGAUCAGACAACGACAGCGCAACAGACAACGACAGCGGAACAGUCAUUUCAAGACGAAAUCUGCUAACUGGAGACAGACAUAGAAUGAAACUGUGGGUGGACGUUGCGAAUUAA
rnacentral:lncRNA from 8 species